UACCCAUCUGCCAAGACAGGGCGCCGUGUUAGAUACACGGGUACAUAGUUGGACUAGAUUUGGAUGAUUACUGGAGACUUACAACAGUCGAUCGAUCUUGACUUACAAGUGCCCCAACUUACAAGUGUUUCAAGUUACAAGCUGUCAUUUGAUUGUUUCGCUUUUGUGUUGCGAGUCAAAAUUUGAGCUACUAGCUAGCUUCAGAUACGCUGCUGCUCGAGUGCAGUGAAAGAAAGAAAAUGGAGCAAUAAUGCCCUUGUCACCGAUGCCCUUUCAGCCGUUGAACGUGACAGUCAAACACACAAAUACAAAAUGAGAACACCUGUGAGGAGCUGCUGUAGGCCACAACUCGCGCCCAGACACUCACACUGACUCCUAACGUCACUUACUAGACCUCGCCCCUUAAAAGGCACACAUCCAAUACGCAGAAACUGUAGAAUGGAAAGUUAUACACUUUAUCCUAUUAUUAUGUUGUAUUAAGUUUCUAUACAAUACGGUGUAUUUUUUUUUAUAUGGCUGGAAGGGACUAAUGGCAUUUCAGUUCACUUCAUUGGGGAAAAUGAUUUAAUAUACUGGUAAGUGCAAAUCCAGUUACUUGAGAAAAGCCUGGUCACGGAAUGAAUUCAACUCAAGUCUGGUCAUGUACGAGUGUACUGGUACAUGGCCUUUAGCAAGCAUUCUUUAAUUUCAAUUUCAAUGUGAAAUGUGUCGAGUUGCACAGCCGUGGGUGCGCGUGUGCGUGUGUGGACUCACGCUGUAGACGGCUGCCACCCCGGUCUGCGCGGAGAAGAUUCUGUCAUCCAGUGACUGCUGAACCCGAGGAAUUCUGCAAAGGUGCAUUUUAAGGAAAACCAGCACUGUGAUACAUGGAUCCGUUUGGGUCGUUAUUUCAAGGGAGCGUCAUCACUUGUUUUAAAAUAAUACUGAUGAAGGUACACAAGGAGAUUUGGUACACUAAAGGGAAGUUUUAAAUCAGUAGAAAAUGACAGAAUCAAUGCGUCAGCCAUGCUGAAGUUGAUUUUAUUUUCAAAAGGGAUUUCCUCGAAGCUCAACAGCUUGCCGAGUUUCAUUUCAAGGAUUCCCCCAACCGCCCCUCCCCACUAAACAAGCCCCUCGCUAAUAGUACACUGUGUACCUUUCACCAUUCGUAGAGUGCUAAAGGGAAAAUGUGAAGUGGAUUUUUGGGUGUUUUUGCGGCUUUGGGUAAUAUAAAACAAGACGACUGCUUAGCCUGCACAAGGGAAAAGGUAGACCAUAAUUGAACAAUAAACAGCAAAUGUCCUGUUAUGACUUGUUCAAAUCUACUCAGGAUCAGCUUGAAUGUAAGCCAAGCAGCAGCGCUUAAAUGGGCAGACGAGUCGUGAAGCAGAGAGCCACUCAGCGAGGCGUCGGAGGGGACCAAAAGAGGGAGCGCCGACCAGCCACACAUGACAGCGAAGCCCCGCGGUUAACCUGCUUGGCCGCUGGUCUGUGUCACACUCGCAAACCGCUGCUCACGUGGUUUCGGUGAAAGCGAGUAUCUGGCUGUCUUCCGCCUGGCCCAGAGUCACGUCUCGCAAUUCUCACGAGCCAGCAUCCUGACGCCGCUCUUGGCUCCCUGCCAGGCCUGCUAUUCAUACCGACUACGCAAAGAGGAGACUGAAAAAAGCAGACUAGGUGGCGGUGAUCAAAGUGAGCCUGUUACUGUUAGGAUUCGGCAUCGACCUACCGGGACAGGCCCCGAGGUGACGCACUUUCCCCAGAGGAGUCUACCUGCGACGCUUCAUUUCAUUCAACGGACUCUCCCCCCCUCCCUAAAUGUGUUUUCUCAGAUGUUUUCCUUGCCGGGAUUGCGGGGUCUACACCAGGGGAUGACGAUUGUGAAUUGUGGGUCUGUGAAGCCUUUUGAGACUCUUCUGUGACUAAGGGCUACACAAAUAAACUUGACUACGGUCAACAA